AGGAUAAACGCUGGCGGCGUGCCUAACACAUGCAAGUCGAACGUCUCUUCUUUCGGGAAGAGGAGUGGCGGACGGGUGAGGAACACGUGGGAACCUGCCCUUUAGUGAGGAAUACCGGCGAGAAAUCGCCGACAAGACCGCAUAGCCCUCUUUGAUGAGAGUCAAAGAAGGAAAGCUUCGCAAGAGGCGCUAGAGGAGGGGCCUGCGUCCGAUUAGCUAGUUGGUGGGGUAAGAGCCUACCAAGGCGUCGAUCGGUAGCUGGUCUGAGAGGACGAUCAGCCACACUGGGAUUGAGAACGGCCCAGACUCCUACGGGGGCAGCAGUGAGGAAUUUUCGUCAAUGGGGGCAACCCUGAACGAGCAACGCCGCGUGCAGGAAGAAGGUUUUCGGAUCGUAAACUGCUUUUCUCGGGGAAGAGAACGGACGGUACCCGAGGAAUCAGCCCCGGCUAACUACGUGCCAGCAGCCGC
rnacentral:rRNA from 1 species